GGGGAUUUGGCUCAGUGGUAGAGCACUUGCCUAGGAAGCGCAAGGUCCUGGGUUCAAUCCCCAGUCCCG
rnacentral:tRNA from 1 species